CGAGGAAGCGUAUUCGCGCCUGUUAGGCCGUCCCAGGGGGUUGUCUUGGUUUUUUCAAUAGAGUGUUUAUUUCUUAAUUGAUCUGCUGUUUCGUUUAGCGCUUGCAUGGAGCUCACGCUGGGGCCGUAAUUACUACCGUCGCGGGAACUGGCGCUCCGCUGCGGAGCCGAGAGGGGGCGGGGAGGGCAGGUGAAGUGGAGAGUUGGCAGCGCUAUUUGGCUCAGAACCAGAAGCCAACAAGUCAGAGGGAUUUCAUAUAACUACUUAUAAGCCUCAUGGUAUCGUUGAGUCUGGCUCAAAUACAAGGCAACUAAAGUAGGUUCAAAACAGACAAACUGCUGAGAAGGAAAAUUUGGGGGUAGCCUUGGAGUUAAGAAACAAGCAUUUCCACUUAAUUUUCCAUCAGAAGGUAUCAUGGAAAAGCCAAGCUUCUUUCACAAUUCUUAUGUAAAUAUCUCACUGCUAAUAUUUCUUAUGCUGUUGUCAUUUCAGGGCCAGCACUGAUGAUAUAUAUGAGACAGAUGAACAGAAGGACGGAUAAAAAUAAGGGGAUGGAAAUAAAACUUUGGUCUUGAAAACAGUAAGAGUGAUGGACGUGAGGGGUGAGGGAAAGGAAGAUGGAUAAUAGUUUGUGCUUUUAUCCCAAAGGUUAAUGUGGAGUCUUGAAAAAUAAUUAAACAUGUUUGAGGGAUUGUGUAUAUAAUCUCUGAGGGACCUUAAACUAUGAGAGUGUGAUAACUCAGCUGAUGGCCAGGAAAAAAAAUGGGUUCAUACCAAGUGGAAACAACUUCUUUUAUAUUUUUAUUGUUGAAAAACGUAUUUUGGCUAGCCCUCUUCCAAGAAUUCUGAACUUGGGUUACAUUUCACUCUCAAUUUGGAUUGGAUUUUCUAAAACGGUAUGCAAGACAGCUGUCUGGGAAUUCAAUAAAGCUUGGCUUUCCAGUCCAUCUAAAUGUACAGUCUGAGGCUUAAGGAAAAAUGAUGUGGAAAAGUUUAUGUAUCAAAUUUGACACCAAAGGUGAAAGCAGCAUUGUAUGUCUUGGCGGAUCGAUAAAAUAAUAAUUUUCCUAUUAUCAUCAGCCCAAAUGAAGACUUUUUCAUGGAAAGCUGUUUUUUUGAUCUUUUUGUUUAGGGUUGAAAUAUGUCUGGCCAAAGUCACCCAGCCAUACAAAAAUAGGAAAGAAAAACAAAGAUAUAAAAGGGUAGAAAGGGGGAAAGGACCACUAUAAAUUCAAAUAAAAAUCAUGCCAGAUUUUAAAUAGAACAUUUAAUCAUGAUCACACUGAGUAGUAGUAAUCAGUUCUUUCAUUAUAUCAAUAAAGAGCGAAUCCAUAAUCAGAGAGUGAACACCUAUUAUAAAAUUGCAUAUUUUUUACCAUUUAAGAGAAUUGUUGAAUGCACCACAUGUAUGAUAAAUCAUCAGAACUUUCAUAUGGCUCUUUCUAAAACCCUACUAAUGAACAUGUAUAUUAAAAUAAAAAAGGAUGAUAUACAUCAGUGUUUCCCAAACUUGACAAUUUUAAGGCAUGUGGACUUCAACUCCCAGAAUUCCACAGCCAGACUAGCUGAAACUAUACUUCUGGGAGUUGAAGUCCUCAUGCCUUAAAAUUGUCAAGUUUGGGAAACACUGAUAUACAUGAAUGUCCCGUAUUUUUACUUUUCCAGAAUCACUUUGACUGCCAGGCCUCCAAUAAGCAUAAAAAAAUCUUUUGCUAAAUCAGUAUUCCAAUAUCUCAGGGGCUGCCAUAAAGAAGAGGGAAUCAAGCUAUUUUCCAAAGCACCUGAAGGCAGGACAAGAAGCAACGGGUGGAAA